rnacentral:rRNA from 1 species
GAUGAACGCUGGCGGCGUGCCUAAUACUUGCAAGUCGAGCGAACAGACGAGGAGCUUGCUCCUCUGACGUUAGCGGCGGACGGGUGAGUAACACGUGGAUAACCUACCUAUAAGACUGGGAUAACUUCGGGAAACCGGAGCUAAUACCGGAUAAUAUAUUGAACCGCAUGGUUCAAUAGUGAAAGACGGUUUUGCUGUCACUUAUCGAUGGAUCCGCGCCGCAUUAGCUAGUUGGUAAGGUAACGGCUUACCAAGGCAACGAUGCGUAGCCGACCUGAGAGGGUGAUCGGCCACACUGGAACUGAGACACGGUCCAGACUCCUACGGGAGGCAGCAGUAGGGAAUCUUCCGCAAUGGGCGAAAGCCUGACGGAGCAACGCCGCGUGAGUGAUGAAGGUCUUCGGAUCGUAAAACUCUGUUAUUAGGGAAGAACAAAUGUGUAAGUAACUAUGCACGUCUUGACGGUACCUAAUCAGAAAGCCACGGCUAACUACGUG